rnacentral:miRNA from 1 species
UGAAAGCCAUUCUCAACAAAA